rnacentral:rRNA from 1 species
AUACGUAGGUGGCAAGCGUUGUCCGGAUUUACUGGGUGUAAAGGGCGUGUAGGCGGGUUGUCAAGUCAGAUGUGAAAUCUAUGGGCUUAACCCAUAACGUGCAUUUGAAACUGACAGUCUUGAGUGAUGGAGAGGCAGGCGGAAUUCCUAGUGUAGCGGUGAAAUGCGUAGAUAUUAGGAGGAACACCAGUGGCGAAGGCGGCCUGCUGGACAUUAACUGACGCUGAGGCGCGAAAGCGUGGGGAGC